CCUCAUGCUCGCACAAUGAAACACACCACUCCGUUUCCCACCAUGCACACGAGGAAGAUCAGCAGAUAGGACACGAUGAAGAUGGCUGCUGUGGACGGCUGAUGCAGUUUCAGGUGAAGCCUGGAUACGCCACACUAAGGUCAUGAUUCACAUGAUGACAACUGAACCCACAUGAAUCUAAAUAACAACAGAG